rnacentral:rRNA from 1 species
AACGAACGCUGGCGGUAGGCCUAACACAUGCAAGUCGAACGACAGCACAGUAAGAGCUUGCUCUUACGGGUGGCGCGCGGCGGACGGGUGAGGAAUACAUCGGAAUAUACUCCUUCGUGGGGGAUAACGUAGGGUAAUGUACGCUAAUACCGCAUACGACCUACGGGUGUAAGCAGGGGUUCUUCGGACUUUGUGCUAGUGAAUGAGCCGAUGUCGGAUUCGCUAGAUGGCGGGGUAAAGGCGCACCAAGGCGACGAUCCGUAGCUGGUCUGAGCGGAUGAUCCGCCACAGGGGUACUGAGACACUGAGCAGACUCCGACGUGAGGCAGCAGUGGGGAUUAUUCGGCAAUGGGCGCAAGCCUGAUCCAGCCAUAGCGCGUGAGUGAAGAAGGCCUUCGGGUUGUAAAGCCCGUUUGUUGGGAAAGAAAAGCGGCAGGUUAAUACCCCGCUGUUCCGCCGGUACCCAAGGAAUAAGCACCGGCUAACUUCGUG